GCUACUGCCAUCAGAGUUCGAUUAAGCCAUGUUAGUUAAGGGGACCUUCCUUCGGGGAGGUAACCCGGCAGACGGCUCAGUAACACGUGGACAAUUUACCCUCGGGACCAGGAUAACCCCUGGGAAACUGGGGCUAAUACUGGAUAGAGCAUCGGCUGCUGGAAUGCGCGAUGUUCGAAAGCUGAGGCGCCCAAGGAUAGGUCUGCGGCUGAUUAGGUUGUUGUUGAUGUAACGGAUCAACAAGCCCGCGAUCGGUACGGGUUGUGAGAGCAAUAGCCCGGAGAUGGGUUCUGAGAAAAGAACCCAGGUCCUACGGGACGCAUCAGGCGCGAAAACUUUACAAUGUGCGAAAGCGCGAUAAGGGAACUCUGAGUGCCUCCUAAGGAGGCUGUUCAGGUGUCUAAAAAGCAUCUGGAGUAAGGGCUGGGCAAGACCGGUGCCAGCCGCCGCGGUAACACCGGCAGCUCAAGUGGUAGCCAUGUUUAUUGGGUCUAAAGCGUCCGUAACCGGCUGAGUAAGUUCCUUGGGAAAUUUGACCGCUUAACGGUUAAGCUAUCAGGGAAUACUGCUUGGCUUGGGACCGGGAGAGGUCAGAGGUACUCCAGGGGUAGGGGUGAAAUCUAUUAAUCCUUGGGGGACCACCGGUAGCGAAGGCGUCUGACCAGACCGGGUCCGACGGUGAGGGACGAAGGCUGGGGUCGCGAACCGGAUUAGAUACCCGGGUAGUCCCAGCUGUAAACGAUGCGGGCCAGGUGUUGGCAUUACUGCGAGUGAUGUCAGUGCCAAGGGGAAGCCGUUAAGCCCGCCAUCUGGGGAGUACGGUCGCAAGGCUGAAACUUAAAGAAAUUGGCGGGGGAGCACCACAACGGGUGGAGCCUGCGGUUCAAUUGGAUUCAACGCCGGG
rnacentral:rRNA from 1 species